rnacentral:rRNA from 1 species
CCUACGGGCGGCAGCAGUGGGGAAUAUUGGGCAAUGGAGGCAACUCUGACCCAGCAAUGCCGCGUGAGUGAUGAAGGUAAUUUUAUUGUAAAGCUCUUUUCUUUGGAACGAAUAAAUGACGGUACCAAAGGAAUAAGCCCCGGCUAACUACGUGCCAGCAGCCGCGGUAAUACGUAGGGGGCGAGCGUUGUGCGGAAUGACUGGGGGUAAAGGGUGUGUGGGUGGUUUGAGAAGUUAGAUGGGUAAUACCCAGGCGUUAACUCGGGUGCUGCAUCUAAAACUGUUAGACUUUAGUACUGGCGAGGAAGGUGGAAUAAGUAAAGUAGCGGUGGAAUGCAUAGAUAUUAGUUAGAACAUC